rnacentral:rRNA from 1 species
GCUCAGAAACUUAAAGGAAUGACGGGGGCCCGCACAAGCGGAGGAACAUGUGGUUUAAUUCGAUGAUACGCGAGGAACCUUACCCGGGCUUGAAAUGCAUCUGACCGGCCUUGAAAGAGGCACUCCCUUCGGGGCAGAUGUGUAGGUGCUGCAUGGUUGUCGUCAGCUCGUGCCGUGAGGUGUCGGCUUAAGUGCCAUAACGAGCGCAACCCUCAUCAUUAGUUACCAUCAGGUAAGGCUGGGGACUCUAAUGAGACUGCCAUCGUAAGAUGUGAGGAAGGUGGGGAUGACGUCAAAUCAGCACGGCCCUUACGUCCGGGGCGACACACGUGUUACAAUGGGUGGUACAAAGGGCAGCUACCUGGCGACAGGAUGCUAAUCUCGAAAACCGCUCUCAGUUCGGAUCGGAGUCUGCAACUCGACUCCGUGAAGCUGGAUUCGCUAGUAAUCGCGCAUCAGCCACGGCGCGGUGAAUACGUUCCCGGGCCUU